GACGAACGCUGGCGGCGUGCUUAACACAUGCAAGUCGAACGGAAAGGCCCUGCUUUUGUGGGGUGCUCGAGUGGCGAACGGGUGAGUAACACGUGAGUAACCUGCCCUUUACUUUGGGAUAACUUCAGGAAACUGGGGCUAAUACCGGAUAGGAGCUCCUGCUGCAUGGUGGGGGUUGGAAAGUUUCGGCGGUUGGGGAUGGACUCGCGGCUUAUCAGCUUGUUGGUGGGGUAGUGGCUUACCAAGGCUUUGACGGGUAGCCGGCCUGAGAGGGUGACCGGCCACCUUGGGACUGCGAUACGGCCCAGACUCCUACGGGAGGCAGCAGUGGGGAAUAUUGCACAAUGGGCGGAAGCCUGAUGCAGCAACGCCGCGUGCGGGAUGACGGCCUUCGGGUUGUAAACCGCUUUCGCCUGUGACGAAGCGUGAGUGACGGUAAUGGGUAAAGAAGCACCGGCUAACUACGUG
rnacentral:rRNA from 1 species